rnacentral:snRNA from 1 species
UUAUGUAGAAUCCAGCUGUGACAUCUGUCACCCUAUUGAUCACCAGGGUUGAUUUGGCUGAUCAGGCUGGCUAGGUGGGUGUCCGCUUCCUCCCUCACCACUCAAUGCGUGUCCCUCCCAAAGCUGUGCACUUGGACGAAGAGAAUGACCUUCCCUGUUAGAGGAGGACCAUUCUUCGGCCAAGUGUAUACCAUUAGCUGCGCUUCCCUGCUAGAACCUCCAAACAAGCUCUCAAGGUCCACUGUAGGAGAAUAUAGGAUAGUCAAGCUUCCAAGACUCCAGAUACAUCCAAAUGAGGCGUUGCAUGUGGCAGUCUGCCUUACUUA